UGAUCCUGGCUCAGAUUGAACGCUGGCGGCAUGCUUUACACAUGCAAGUCGAACGGUAACAGGGUGCUUGCACCGCUGACGAGUGGCGAACGGGUGAGUAAUAUAUCGGAACGUACCUAGUAAUGGGGGAUAACUAUCCGAAAGGAUAGCUAAUACCGCAUACGCCCUGAGGGGGAAAGAGGGGGAUCGCAAGACCUCUCGUUAUUAGAGCGGCCGAUAUCAGAUUAGCUAGUUGGUGAGGUAAAGGCUCACCAAGGCAACGAUCUGUAGCGGGUCUUAGAGGACGAUCCGCCACACUGGAACUGAGACACGGUCCAGACUCCUACGGGAGGCAGCAGUGGGGAAUCUUGGACAAUGGGCGCAAGCCUGAUCCAGCAAUGCCGCGUGCGUGAAGAAGGCCUUCGGGUUGUAAAGCGCUUUUGUUCGGGAGGAAAUCCUAGUGGCUAAUAUCCCAUUGGGGAUGACAGUACCGGAAGAAUAAGACCGGCUA
rnacentral:rRNA from 1 species